UACUACCUGAAUCAACCUAGUCCGCGCCUCACCCGUCAGUUCCCCAGUCAGGUACGUGGCCAUUUUGGAGAACAUGUCCCGGCAGAGCUCAGUGAUGUCAGCCUCGGCGGGCUCCUUUGCUUCCUCGGCUGUUUCAACGGCGGCAUCGUCUGGGCCAAGGAAGAGUGGACUCCACGCUCAGACGCUGUUCUCCAGCUAAACCACCUGCCUGGGCAGGACAGAGACAGGCGUGCCUCUCCUCUCUGCCCGCUCCCUCCAGCCCUACACUGGCCCCGCAGGCUUCAUCCAGCUCUCUGCCGGACGUCAUCUCCAUCGGUGCCGGUAUACCUCGGGCCGACUCCUCCUGUCGCGAGGCCAGGACGCCCUCAGCUGCUGCCGCCAUACUAGCCUGGAGCUGCUUCCGGGUCUGGGAGGUGUGCGCGGGCGCGCUGGGUCUGCGCACUGGAAGUGCUUUUACCAAUGUGCCCUCUCUGCGUGGCCCGCGACUCAGUGUGUGGAUCCUGAGGGUCUCAUUUCAGUGAAGCCACAAACAACGACUGUUAACAAAGUAAAAGCCCAGAAGCCAAAAUAGAAUCUAAAAUGCUGAAACCUAUCGAUCCGCUUGCAGAGUCACGAUGUCUGGAACCGAUGGGCUUUUCUGGGGACAGCCAGACCCUGAUUACUUGUCAGCGGUUUAUUGGCUUGUACUGUCCACCACCCGGCUAGGGUUAGUUGAGCAUCAAAUGUCCUGUUGACCGAUAUCCCUGGAAACAGGUUGACACCUCCCCCAAACGCUCCGAGACCUGGCUAGUGUUAGUCACAAAAGAUUGUUCUAGGAAUCCACGAUUUCCAGGUAUAGUCUUAUAUGAGCUGUGGGGAAACUGAUUUUGGCCUUUGAUUCCUGAUCCUAAUUAAUGUCCUGAGUUAACACCAACUGAUUGGAUCCUGUUCCUUAUUUUCCAGCCUGACACCAACAAUCUUUAUUGGAUUGUGACUUUUUAGGGUUGAGGAUACACUCUGGCUGUUUUAUUUACAUUUAGUUGUUCUACAAAUCGCUUUGGUGUUUAGAGUAUUUAACGGAAAGAGGGAACCCAAGUGAGUGAAGGAAUUGAAUGAAAAAAAGUAGAGCAAUUGAAGGUGCAAAAUCAGGAGCAAUAAAAGCCACGGGGCAGGAGGAGCCGGUCUCAGGACACACUUCUGGGACAUCCAGAAUCUUGAUGUAGGAUUUUCUUGUCUUAUUCCUGAUUGUCCCCAAUUGCAUGCACACACACGUGCACGCGUGCGCGCACACACUCUCACCACUACUACCACCCCCCCCCCCCCCCCCCGCCUUUAGUCCCUCAAGCCGACUCUUCCCUGGUCACCUGUCUUCAUUCUUAUGAAGCAAUCAUAGUACUUACUAACUAAAAACAUUGUUAUAGGCCAGAAGUUCUUAUUUCAGGGCUUCUGUAGCAGCCAGUUCCUUCAUGUCACUAUACCCAGUGUAUACCUCCCAGAAAGUAUGAACCCACCUCAGCCCAUGCACAUGGAUAGCUCACAGUUCCCAACUGUUUUCUUGUCUAUAAAACGAGAGGCAAAUGCAAACACCUGGUUUUUUGAAGCAGUUUUAUUGAUAGUCACCUGGGAAACUGUGUUGUCCUAUGAAAAACUAAUCAGAACCCCCCACAUAUUAGUCCAAAGAUCUCUGAAUCUUGAGGUCAUUUCUUUGCAUUAUUCCUUUCAGGCUGCAUUUUGGUCUCCUGAGUUACAGCCUGCUCAGUACUUAGCAUUUAGUGAAAUUCCUGGAACAGCCUCCACCUCAAGAAUCUUUAUAGACUUUUCUGGAAAUGGAGCUUCACUUUAAUUCAUCUGUAGUGUUGGAAUCUGACUCUAAGGGUUACUUUCCUCUUUUACAGGGAAAUUCUAUGGGGGAAGAAAAGAAACCUAUAGGUGGUAACAGUGGGUCUCCAGAUACACAAACAAUAAGUGUAAAAUUUACUGGUAAAUAGGAAAACAUCUAGAUAUUGUCUACUCUGUUGCCUUCUACCUUCUUGAUAAGUCAUGGCUGUCAAGAUCUUAAUGAGUCAUUAUUCUCCCUUCCUGUAUUUUGUUUGUUAUUGACAUUUUUAACACAACAGCAUUUUUUUCACUAAAUGCACAGUGAAUAAGAACUCUAGUGGGAAGUGUUACUUUACAGAAUUAUGUUUUACAGGACUAUUGCAUAAGAAAUACUGACUCACAAGCUUAAGCAUGAUGCCCAGCUGACAGGCAGAAACAUCGGCUCAAAAGUCCAGACACAGGGUAAGACUCGCUAGUGACCAUGGUGGACCCUAAGGUAGGAGAACCCAGUAGAGGGCAUAUGGAGAGAGGCUUUGAAAGAGGCAGAGAGGGAAAAGAGUCUAAUUUCCAGUUUUAGGACUCCUCCUUUGCCACUCUUCUGCCUACCCGGAACUCCCUAAAGGGAUGGAGCUACAGCUGGGGCUGGCUGCAUGAGUUUCCAAAUGGCUUGUUCCUCCUGUUGAAAGAAAGAGAAAUAGGUCAUUUGAAGGAGUUUGUGUUCCACUUCCCUUUCUCUGGAUCUGAUUCAAGAAAACCCAAACUGCCAUGAGUCCAAUAUUGAUGUUCCCAGUGUCAUGGUAUUAGGAGGGUAGGCCUUUUAUUAGUGAUUAAGUCAUGAGUGUAGAGCCUUUAGGAAAGGGAUUAUUGCCAUCAUCAAAGAAUUCUCUUUUCCCUAUACUGUAUGAGGACUCAUCAAGAAAGACAGCUGUCUAUAAAUUAGGAAGAAUCUCCCUAAAUAUUAAAUCUGCUACCACCUUGCUCUUAGACUUUCCAGCCUCCAAAACUCUGAGAAAUAAAUUUUUGUGAUUUAUUAGCCUGUCAGUCUAUGAUAUCAACCCAAACAGACUAAGACAAACCUUUCCUGGAGACUGAGGCAGCCAUUAGGCCAGAGCAACCAAACUUAAGAGGCCUUCGUUCCCCAACUCACUUCCACCAACAUUGUAAAUUCUAUGAAUCUGGUUCUCCAGGACCCUGAAAGCAUAAUAAGUCUUUCAAAAGUGCUCUUAUUCCUGUAAGCCCAACUGACUAAAGUUCAGCUGUAGAGAACUAAGGGGGCCCAAAUGAAGGGCCACUCACCAUUCCCAGGGAUGGAGUUAACUGCCCCUUCUUCUCCAGGAUCUUCAGCUCUGAGCCCAAAGAAUCAGUCUGGGACACGACUCCUUCCAGAAUGGUCUCCAGUUGCAGAACUCUCUUUGUAAACCUGUGUGGGAUUUGAGAGAGACCAAGGAAGCAGCAAUAUAGGGGCAAAGGGCACUAGGUAUUUACAGGGACAAGAAUAACAGAAUAGUUUGUGUCUGAACAGGAACAUGGAAGGUAAAGCCCAGUGACAUAAAGAGAAUCAUAAGGAGAUAGAAGUUUUCCCUGGGCAAGGGCAGGGAAUUGGAAGUUUAAAAUAGGGUAUUAAACACAGCCAGUUUUGUGCUUCUGGCUGCACAUACCUGUAGAAUUCUUCUCUGGAAACCCAGCCUCCUGCUCUGGCAUCCUCUGAGGCCUGCUUGCCACACACAAUGGGUUGGCUCAGGUUCUCAAUCUCAGCAUUGAGGGCCACCUGAUCUCUCAAACAUGAGAGAGGAGAUGACUGUGAGAAGCCAUCAGCACCUAUUUCAACACCUGUUCAAAUGGGUUCCCAAGACCCAAACUUGAGGUUCAAGUUCUUGCUGUUCCCCUUCCCUUUCAGCCUCAAUAUGGUCACUACGACACACCUCAGGAGGAAGAGUUACUCCCCAAAGAAACUAAACAUGAGCACCUUGAAGACCUGAUUAAUGAGAUCCUGUUGCAAUUUUUCCUGCUCCUUCUCAUCCAAUAUGCAAUUCUCAUCCUGGUCAAACCUAGUGAAAGCAGCCGUGAGCUCAGUGAUUUCAUGCUCUGUGUGCCCCAGUCUGAAAAGAACAGGAUAAAGAAAUGACUUCUGCCCUUUUGGAGCUGUGAUUGCUCCAACUAUGGACUCCUCACCUUUUUACUAGACUUCUAAAACAUAAGGGUCUUGACCUCUGUGUCUUGCUUUCUGGGAAAAAAAGAGGACAAUAUGGGAAAGCCAGGAUAUCCAAAAUCUAGAAAUUUUACCCCAAAUAAAUCACUUAAAUCUA